CAGAAAUGUCCACUUCACCGUGGUUCCUAACGGAGGGUACCACAGAGCCUCCCUUUUAUCUUACAGCCAGCUUCUCUCUUAGCAUAGUCGGUGAUGGCAGGUGUCACGGAGCCUUUCCUUACGUAUUACAGCUAUUAUUCUUGAAUUACAGCUGUCCGUGCGGGUGCCCAGGCGAUUGAAGCUUAUGUCUCAUGCAAGCGCGCCCUCUAGUGGUGGCCAAGCUGAUGGCCGCUCCUUUGCUACAGUCGACUAUUUCUACUUCCCUGCUGUCCUGUGAGGGCCAUCAUCAGGAUGAAGUCUAUCCCCAGACCUCCUUGAAAAAGCAGACGUGCAAGCUUGUGCUGUAACACACAGCUCCCAAGUAUUAGAAGUAAUCUCCAUGCCAAACAAAGGAACACAUGAAAACAGCAAAAAUAUCUUGGCAAGGGCUAGAGAGAUGGAUAAGUGGUUAAGAACACUGACUGCUUUGUUCCAGAGGUCCUGAGUUCAAUUCCCAGCAGCCACAUACUGUUUCACAAUCAUCUGUAAUGGGAUCCGAAGCCCUCUUCUGGUGUGUGAAGCCGCUAUACUGGCAGGCUCAUAACCAUCCAGGGGAUUUGGUGCCCUCUACUGGCCUCUGUGGGUACCAGCAUUCAUAUAUGUGUGUGUGUGUAUUCAUAUAUGUGUUUGUAUGUGUAUGUAUAUGUAUAUGUAGUGUAUGUAUAUGUCUAUGUGUGUGUGUAUAUGUGUAUGUGUAUAUGUAUAUGUAGUGUAUGUAUGUCUGUGUGUAUGUGUGUAUAUGUAUAUGUGUAUGUAUAUGAUGUGUAUGUGUAUAUGUAUGUGUAUGUGUAUAUGUAUAUAUACACACAUGCAUACUGAAAACAAAAUAUCUUUAAAAAAUACAUUAAUAACAGGGCUGGAGAGAUGGCUCAGUUGUUAAGACCUCCGACUGCUCUUCCAGAGGUCCUGAGUUCAAUUCCCAGCAACCACAUGGUGGCUCACAACCAUCUAUAAUGGAAUCUGAUGCCCUCUUCUGGUGUGUGAAGAAGACAACUACAGCGUACUCACUCUACAGUGUAUUCACAUACGUAAAAUAAAUAAAAAUCUUU
rnacentral:lncRNA from 1 species